UUUAACGGCCGCGGUAUUUUGACCGUGCAAAGGUAGCGCAAUCACUUGUCUUUUAAAUGAAGACCUGUAUGAAUGGCAAAACGAGGGCUUAACUGUCUCCCCUUUCCAGUCAAUGAAAUUGAUCUACCCGUGCAGAAGCGGGUAUAAAAAUACAAGACGAGAAGACCCUUUGGAGCUUAAGACCUAAACCACCUAUGUAAUAACCUAACAAACUAGUUUAAACUAAAUAGUAUUUGGCCAAAGUCUUCGGUUGGGGCGACCGCGGGGGAAAACAAAGCCCCCAUGUGGAACGGGGACAACCCCCCUAAAACCAAGAGAGACAUCUCUAAGCCACAGAACAUCUGACCAAAAAGAUCCGGCUACUAAAGCCGAUUAACGGACCAAGUUACCCUAGGGAUAACAGCGCAAUCCCCUCUCAGAGUCCCUAUCGACGAGGGGGUUUACGACCUCGAUGUUGGAUCAGGACAUCCUAAUGGUGCAGCCGCUAUUAAGGGUUCGUUUGUUCAACGAUUAAAGUCCUAC
rnacentral:rRNA from 1 species